UAGCAUUUGUGUCUGUUUUUUUUUUAAUUUUUAAAGUUAUUUCUCUUUCAAGUUAAACUUGAAUAUUUUUGUUGAAGUUUGAGUUUUGGUUUGUUUGAGGAAUCAGCUGGAGGGCCAGCUGGGAUUUCCUCGUUUGUUUUAUUUUUUUUAAUUAUUUUUUUUUCACUCGGAAAUCCUUUUGGGUGGGGAGGUAUUGUAGUGCCGUUUCUUUCAGCCUCCGGAUUAGUUACAGGGGACCCGUUUUAUAGCUUUUUUGUGUAGUAUUGGACACAGCGCCAUCUCGCGUUGUUCAGUGGAAGGUCCGGGACCAUCGACUUGCUAUCGUUGGGCUCCGCAGUCGACGACUUUCCAUCAGUAACCGGAGGAUGGUGUGUGCCGAUAUUGUACGGAAGGCUAUAUCUUGGAGUCCCUUGUCAAGUAGCUGCUGAAGAAUGUUGGUGUCAAUAUUUAAUACAAAAUUAUAUUUGGGAAUUUUCGGUCUGUCUCCUGUCCUUGGAGUUGUUAAUAACUUGCAUGUUGAGUGUGCGACGGCGGCGUCAUCUAACGGACGAUUGAGGUCGUACUAGCUUUGUCCGUGACGUAGGCGUUGAAUUGGGCGAUUUAUAUAGUCCUGCGCCUGCGAGCUGCCGCAUUCCCCAGACAGCGCUCCGCCGAGCGGGUGUGUCCACACCUUCAAUUUUUAGUGUGAAUUUCGGGCGGUUUAUAAGCGUGUGACCGGUGGCCCGCAACUCCGUCGCACGCGCCGCCAAAUCUUCGUAAAUUUUUAUUCUGGUAAGUAAGUUAUACAUUUCUGUCAUCUGUCGUGACUCGUGAGUGUUAGUGUUUGCGGUCAAGAUUUUAAUGUGCGAUUUGUUCCGAAUAGGUGUGGUUUUGGUGUCCGUGGCGUGGACACGUUGCUCCGCCAUUUUGUCCCAGCGUCGUGGCAUCGACGUCAUCGUACGUUGGCCGCAUACGUGGCUUCUCGACCUCCGACAGGUGAGUCUUUUUAUACGAUUUUGGGGAGUUAGUUAGGUUGUGCCUCCGCCCCUAGAGGUUUGAUUUACCCCUGUGCGUUUUGUCCACAGGAGGUGUUUUGCGAAGGUGUUUUGUGACGGCUGUUUUACGAAGGCUGUUCUGUUCUAUGACGGGUGUUUUGUACAGCUGUUCUGCUACAGCUUAUUGGCAGCUGCUUCUAGUCGGCUCGGCUUCCUUCCCGCCGCCGAGGGCAAACGAGCUAGGGAGGUUUUUAUAAUACCUUUCUUAUUUUUUUUUAUAAUGCUUAACGAAUGACCAGUGGCCUUGAAUACCUGGAAUGUACCCUUAGGAUUUAAAAGUUCCAAAUACUUAUUUAUAUUUUUGUGUAACUUUGGUUUUCUUAGUAAUUAAUAAAUACAAGUAAACCA